AACGAACGCUGGCGGCAGGCCUAACACAUGCAAGUCGAGCGAAGCCUUCGGGCUUAGCGGCGGACGGGUGAGUAACGCGUGGGAACGUGCCCUUUGCUACGGAAUAGCCCCGGGAAACUGGGAGUAAUACCGUAUGUGCCCUUCGGGGGAAAGAUUUAUCGGCAAAGGAUCGGCCCGCGUUGGGUUAGGUAGUUGGUGGGGUAAUGGCCUACCAGGCCGACGAUCCAUAGCUGGUUUGAGAGGAUGAUCAGCCACACUGAGACUGAGACACGGCCCAGACUCCUACGGGAGGCAGCAGUGGGGAAUCUUAGACAAUGGGCGGAAGCCUGAUCUAGCCAUGCCGCGUGAUCGAUGAAGGCCUUAGGGUUGUAAAGAUCUUUCAGGUGGGAAGAUAAUGACUGUACCACCAGAAGAAGCCCCGGCUAACUCCGUGCCAGCCGCCGCGGUAAAAC
rnacentral:rRNA from 1 species